UACGUAGGGGGCAAGCGUUGUCCGGAUUUAUUGGGCGUAAAGCGCACGCAGGCGGUGCGGUAAGUUUCGCGUGACAGGUGGUGGCUUAACUGCCACAGGACUCGGAAAACUGCUGCACUUGAGGGCUUGAGAGGGACGCGGAAUUCCAGGUGGAGCGGUGAAAUGCGUAGAUAUCGUAAGGAAGACCAGUGGCGAAGGCGGGUCUCUGGACAGUUCCUGACGCUGAGGCACGAAGGCCAGGGGAGCAAACGGG
rnacentral:rRNA from 1 species